rnacentral:rRNA from 1 species
GAUGAACGCUAGCUACAGGCUUAACACAUGCAAGUCGAGGGGCCUCAUGAACAUAGCUUGCUAUGUUUGCUGGCGACCGGCGCACGGGUGCGUAACACGUAUCCAAUCUGCCCGUUACUCGGGGAUAGCCUUUCGAAAGAAAGAUUAAUACCCGAUGGUAUUAUGAUGAGGCAUCUCAUUAUAAUUAAAGAUUUAUCGGUAACGGAUGAGGAUGCGUAUGAUUAGUUAGUUGGCGGGGUAACGGCCCACCAAGACUACGAUCAUUAGGGGUUCUGAGAGGAAGGUCCCCCACACUGGAACUGACACACGGUCCAGACUCCUACGGGAGGCAGCAGUGAGGAAUAUUGGUCAAUGGACGAGAGUCUGAACCAGCCAAGUAGCGUGAAGGAUGACUGCCCUAUGGGUUGUAAACUUCUUUUGUUUGGGAAUAAAGUUAGGUACGUGUAUCUAUUUAUAUGUACCAUUCGAAUAAGCAUCGGCUAAUUCCGUGCCAGCCGCCGCCGUAAAAC